AUUCUAAUCAGCAGAAUAGUGGUAAUUCCGAGAACGAUGAGAAAUGGGCCUAAAGAGCCCUUAACUCUUGAGACUGGAUUGCUGAAAAGUCAAGGUAGUUCGGUUCCAAUCCCGAUGGUAUGGACUAUGGCCAUAUAAGAGAAGAUAGAGCUUCAAAAGAUGGAAGAUGGAGAGAGAAUGGGGCCACCAUUUCAAGGAAU